AUGGGCGAAAGCCUGAUGCAGCAACGCCGCGUGAAGGAAGAAGGCUUUCGAGUCGUAAACUUCUGUCCAAAGGGAAGAAUAAUGACGGUACCUUUGAAGAAAGCCCCGGCUAACUACGUGCCAGCAGCCGCGGUAAUACGUAGGGGGCGAGCGUUAUCCGGAAUUACUGGGCGUAAAGAGUAUGUAGGUGGUUGAGUAAGCGUAGGGUUUAAGGCGACAGCCCAACUGUCGUAUGCCCCGCGAACUGUUUAACUUGAGUACAGGAGGGGAAGGCGGAAUUCCUAGUGUAGCGGUGAAAUGCGUAGAUAUUAGGAGGAACACCAGUGGCGAUGGCGGCCUUCUGGACUGUAGCUGACACUGAGAUAAGAUAGCGUGGGUAGCAAACAGGAUUAUAUACCCUGGUAGUCCACGCAGUGAAACGAUGAGCACUAGGUGUCGGGCUCGCAGAUCGGUGCCGGAGCGAACGCAUCAAGUGCUCCGCCUGGGGAGUACGCACGCCAGUGUGAAACUC
rnacentral:rRNA from 1 species